GACGGGGGGGGCAAGUGUUCUUCGGAAUGACUGGGCGUAAAGGGCACGUAGGCGGUGAAUCGGGUUGAAAGUGAAAGUCGCCAAAAAGUGGCGGAAUGCUCUCGAAACCAAUUCACUUGAGUGAGACAGAGGAGAGUGGAAUUUCGAUGUGUAGGGGUGAAAUCCGUAAAUAUACGAAGGAACGCCAAAAGCGAAGGACAGCUCUCUGGGCCCCUACCGACCGCUGGGGUGCGGAAAGCAUGGGGAGACGAACGAGGCAAUUGAUG
rnacentral:rRNA from 1 species